rnacentral:tRNA from 1 species
GCGGGAGUGCCAGAGCGGCCAAAUGGGCACGGUUCAGAGCCGUGUGGCUUAGUGCCUUCGCAGGUUCAAAUCCUGUCUCCCGCACCA